rnacentral:tRNA from 3 species
GUCCUGAUAGCUCAGCUGGAUAGAGCGUAAGAUUCCUAAUCUUAAGGUCAUGGGUUCAAAUCCCUUUCGGGACACCA